GACGAACGCUGGCGGCGUGCUUAACACAUGCAAGUCGAACGGAAAGGCCCUGCUUUUGUGGGGUGCUCGAGUGGCGAACGGGUGAGUAACACGUGAGUAACCUGCCCUUGACUUUGGGAUAACUUCAGGAAACUGGGGCUAAUACCGGAUAGGAGCUCCUGCUGCAUGGUGGGGGUUGGAAAGUUUCGGCGGUUGGGGAUGGACUCGCGGCUUAUCAGCUUGUUGGUGGGGUAGUGGCUUACCAAGGCUUUGACGGGUAGCCGGCCUGGGAGGGUGACCGGCCACAAUGGGACUGAGAUACGGCCCAGACUCCUACGGGAGGCAGCAGUGGGGAAUAUUGCACAAUGGGCGGAAGCCUGAUGCAGAGACGCCGCGUGCGGGAUGACGGCCUUCGGGUUGUAAACCGCUUUCGCCUGUGACGAAGCGUGAGUGACGGUAAUGGGUAAAGAAGCACCGGCUAACUACGUG
rnacentral:rRNA from 1 species